UGUAAGUGGUUAAAGGGUGUAGUUAUAGGUUGUGUAGGCAAAUCCGCACGACUUGGCGAACCUGAUAGUACAGCAAUGCUUCGGCAACGCUGAUAGUGAUCCUAAUCAAACCUCCAAGAAAAACCUCUAAGGCUAGGCUAAAACUGCCCGUACCGUAAACCGACACAGGUAGUCGAGAUGAGUAUUCUAAGGCGCUCGGGUGAGCCACGGAGAAGGAACUAGGCAAAUUAACGCUGUAACUUCGGGAUAAAGCGUACCAUCUUCGGAUGGUCUCAGUAAAAUGGUUCAACCAACUGUUUAGCAAAAACACAGGGCCCUGCAAAAUCGUAAGAUGACGUAUAGAGCCUGAUACCUGCCCGGUGCUGGAAGGUUAAGGAAGCUUGUUCGGAGCAAUCCAAAGCUUGUGACUGAAGCCCCAGUAAACGGCGGCCGUAACAAUAACGGUCCUAAGGUAGCGAAAUUCCUUGUCGGGUAAGUUCCGACCUGCACGAAUGGUCUAAUGAGUUGAACACUGUCUCCUCCGUGAGCCCGGUGAAAUUGUAGUAUCGGUGAAGAUGCCGGUUACCCGCCACGGGACGAAAAGACCCCGUGAACCUUCACUACAGCUUUGCAUUGAUUUUGAGUAACAGAUGUGUAGAAUAGUUGGGACGCUACGAAGCCAUGCCGCCAGGUGUGGUGGAGCGGUCGUUGAAAUACCAACCUUCUGUUACUUAGAGUCUAAUCCCCGACGGGAGACAUUGCAUGGUAGUUUGACUGGGGUGGUCGCCUCCUAAAAAGUAACGGAGGCUCGCAAAGGUGCCCUCAGCAUGGUUGGUAAUCAUGCGUAGAGCGUAUUAGUAUAAGGGCGCUUGACUGUGAGACAGACAUGUCGAGCAGGUGCGAAAGCAGGCUAAAGUGAUCCGGUGGUUCCGCAUGGAAGGGCCAUCGCUCAAAGGAUAAAAGGUACUCCCGGGAUAACAGGCUGAUCUCCCCCAAGAGCUCAUAUCGACGGGGAGGUUUGGCACCUCGAUGUCGGUUCGUCACAUCCUGGGGCUGGAGAAGGUCCCAAGGGUUCGGCUGUUCGCCGAUUAAAGUGGCACGUGAACUGGGUUCAGAACGUCGCAAGACAGUUCGGUCUCUAUCUGUGGUGGGCGUUAGUAAAUUGAGAAGACAUGACCUUAGUACGAGAGGACCGGGUCGUACACACCGCUGGUGUAUCUGUUGUGCCGCCAGGUGCAAUGCAGAGUAGCUACGUGUGGCAAGGAUAAGCGCUGAAAGCAUCUAAGCGCGAAACCUUCUUCAAGAUGAGUUUACUUUUAAGGGUCGUAGAAGACGACUACGUUGAUAGGCUAUAGGUGUAAAAUUGGUAACAAUAAAGCCGAGUAGUACUAAUUGCCCGUAAGCUUU
rnacentral:rRNA from 1 species